GGGGUGGUGGCGCAGUUGGCUAGCGCGCUGGGCUCAUGAUCCAGAGGUCGAGAGUGCGAUCCUCUCCCACCCCG